CAGAACCUGGUUGAUCCUGCCAGUAGUCAUAUGCUUGUCUCAAAGAUUAAGCCAUGCAUGUCUUAGUGUAAAUAACUCUUAUGAAACUGCGAAUGGCUCAUUAAAUCAGUUAUCAAAUACGUGAUGGUCGCCUACUACAUGGAUAACCGUAGUAAUUCUAGAGCUAAUACAUGCACAAAAGGUCCCACGUCAACG
rnacentral:rRNA from 1 species